rnacentral:rRNA from 1 species
UACGUAGGGUCCGAGCGUUGUCCGGAAUUACUGGGCGUAAAGAGCUCGUAGGUGGUUUGUCGCGUUGUUCGUGAAAACUCACAGCUCAACUGUGGGCGUGCGGGCGAUACGGGCAGACUAGAGUACUGCAGGGGGAGACUGGAAUUCCUGGUGUAGCGGUGGAAUGCGCAGAUAUCAGGAGGAACACCGGGUGGGCGAAGGCGGG